rnacentral:rRNA from 1 species
ACGUAGGUGGCGAGCGUUGUCCGGAAUUAUUGGGCGUAAAGAGCAUGUAGGCGGUUUUCUAAGUCUGGAGUGAAAAUGCGGGGCUCAACCCCGUAUGGCUUUGGAUACUGGAAGACUUGAGUGCAGGAGAGGAAAGGGGAAUUCCCAGUGUAGCGGUGAAAUGCGUAGAGAUUGGGAGGAACACCAGUGGCGAAGGCGCCUUUCUGGACUGUGUCUGACGCUGAGAUGCGAAAGCCAGGGUAGCGAACGGG